GCCUACUUUCUCAAAGUUCUUUUCCUACCAACUGUAUGGGAUGAACAGGAAAAUCUGUUAAGUGUGUACUAUAAAUGUGGUAACGGUUUGACAUCUGUGAUAUUCUCUGAAGUUGCAGAUGCAGAGGACUUGAGGCCAUGUGCCACCUCAAGCCAGAGCGACAUUAGUCCAAGUGGCAGCCAGGAAGAAGCUGGCCAAGACAGAGCAUCAGAAUCAGACCAAGAGCUGCCAUCCCUGCUUGAUGAGCCUGUGGCUUCUGAGAUGCCUGCUGGAUACAUUAAAGAUCUUCAAGCAGUGGAGAUGAGGAUAAUG